rnacentral:rRNA from 1 species
GACGAACGCUGGCGGCGUGCUUAACACAUGCAAGUCGAACGGAAAGGCCCUGCUUUUGUGGGGUGCUCGAGUGGCGUACGGGUGAGUAACACGUGAGUAACCUGCCCUUGACUUUGGGAUAACUUCAGGAAACUGGGGCUAAUACCGGAUAGGAGCUCCUGCUGCAUGGUGGGGGUUGGAAAGUUUCGGCGGUUGGGGAUGGACUCGCGGCUUAUCAGCUUGUUGGUGGGGUAGUGGCUUACCAAGGCUUUGACGGGUAGCCGGCCUGAGAGGGUGACCGGCCACAUUGGGACUGAGAUACGGCCCAGACUCCUACGGGAGGCAGCAGUGGGGAAUAUUGCACAAUGGGCGGAAGCCUGAUGCAGCAACGCCGCGUGCGGGAUGACGGCCUUCGGGUUGUAAACCGCUUUCGCCUGUGACGAAGCGUGAGUGACGGUAAUGGGUAAAGAAGCACCGGCUAACUACGUGCCAGCAGCCGCGGUGAUACGUAGGGUGCGAGCGUUGUCCGGAUUUAUUGGGCGUAAAGGGCUCGUAGGUGGUUGAUCGCGUCGGAAGUGUAAUCUUGGGGCUUAACCCUGAGCGUGCUUUCGAUACGGGUUGACUUGAGGAAGGUAGGGGAGAAUGGAAUUCCUGGUGGAGCGGUGGAAUGCGCAGAUAUCAGGAGGAACACCAGUGGCGAAGGCGGUUCUCUGGGCCUUUCCUGACGCUGAGGAGCGAAAGCGUGGGGAGCGAACAGGCUUAGAUACCCUGGUAGUCCACGCUGUAAACGGUGGGUACUAGGUGUGGGGUCCAUUCCACGGGUUCCGUGCCGUAGCUAACGCUUUAAGUACCCCGCCUGGGGAGUACGGCCGCAAGGCUAAAACUCAAAGGAAUUGACGGGGCCCCGCACAAGCGGCGGAGCAUGCGGAUUAAUUCGAUGCAACGCGUAGAACCUUACCUGGGUUUGACAUGGAUCGGGAGUGCUCAGAGAUGGGUGUGCCUCUUUUGGGGUCGGUUCACAGGUGGUGCAUGGCUGUCGUCAGCUCGUGUCGUGAGAUGUUGGGUUAAGUCCCGCAACGAGCACAACCCUUGUUCACUGUUGCCAGCACGUUAUGGUGGGGACUCAGUGGAGACCGCCGGGAUCAACUCGGAGGAAGGUGGGGAUGACGUCAAGUCAUCAUGCCCCUUAUGUCCAGGGCUUCACGCAUGCUACAAUGGCUGGUACAGAGGGUGGCGAGCCUGUGAGGGUGAGCGAAUCUCGGAAAGCCGGUCUCAGUUCGGAUUGGGGUCUGCAACUCGACCUCAUGAAGUCGGAGUCGCUAGUAAUCGCAGAUCAGCAACGCUGCGGUGAAUACGUUCCCGGG